UUAAAAGUAAAAUCCAAAGCAGAAACCAAAAUUAGAAAUUGAAGAGCCUAGAAAUAGGAAAGUGUAUAGUCUUCAUCUUAGUUGAACCCAAGCUGAAAUGUCGCGUCGUAGACAUAAUCGAAAAUGGUAGAUGAGCUAAAUGACCAAAAUAAUCAUCAGAUUCUUCAAGCACAUAGGUAAUGGGAUGAUAUUAUGUGGAUGCAAGCUGAAAAAGAUCAAAAAAAGAAAAGAAGUGCAGUUUGAAGACCUAGAGUAGAACAUAGCCCCAGUUACCGCGGUCACAGUCAAUCAAGCAGGUUCGGACACACAAUUCCCAAGCGCUCUUAGCCAGCUCGGUACCCAUCUUGGCAGCAGUAAUAGUACUAGAUCAUGGGUUAGCUUGGGGUCACUCUUUGCGGUAAGCAUCAUAUCGCGAUCAGGGGGUAGCUUCGGGUCGUGACAAAACAUGGUUCAGACGCUCAGUUCCCGGAUCACGCAUAGAUUUUCCAGAUUACCAGAUGUAGCAGCGGUGAGUCCUUAUAUUUCGAGGACAUGGUUUAUUAAUCUUAGCUAUCUCAUCAGUUUUAUUAUUUUUUUUAUUUAGUCAGAGUUAGUUGGGGGUUUGUCCCAUCAGCUCCACAGUCAGUCAUUAGAGGCUUUCUAGACUAGUACAGACAAUUAGUCAGUCUUCAAUUUUUAGUUGUUAUUGUCAGACAUUUUAUUAGUAUUAUCAGUAUUAUUUUGUAGACUUUAUCAGAACUAUGAUUUAAAACCUUAUGGCAUUCCUCAGUUAAAUUCUA